rnacentral:rRNA from 1 species
AUACCGGAUACGCUGAGAAAUCAGGAAAGGUGGCCUCUUCAUGAAAGCUACUGUAUCAGGAGGAGCUUGCGUACCAUUAGCUAGUUGGUGGGGUAAUGGCCUACCAAGGCAACGAUGGUUAGCGGGUCUGAGAGGAUGAUCCGCCACACUGGAACUGGAACACGGACCAGACUCCUACGGGAGGCAGCAGUGAGGAAUAUUGCGCAAUGGGGGCAACCCUGACGCAGCGACGCCGCGUGGAUGAUGAAGGCCUUCGGGUCGUAAAAUCCUGUCAGAUGGAAAGAAAUGUCAUAUGCCUAAUAUGUGUAUGAUUUGACGGUACCAUCAAAGGAAGCACCGGCUAACUCCGUGCCAGCAGCCGCGGUAAUACGGAGGGUGCAAGCGUUGUUCGGAAUUACUGGGCGUAAAGCGCGCGUAGGCGGCUUUUUAAGUCAGAUGUGAAAGUCCACGGCUCAACCGUGGAAGUGCAUUUGAUACUGGGAAGCUUGAGUACUGGAGGGGAUGGUGGAAUUCCCGGUGUAGAGGUGAAAUUCGUAGAUAUCGGGAGGAAUACCGGUGGCGAAGGCGACCAUCUGGCCAGAUACUGACGCUGAGGUGCGAAAGCGU